rnacentral:rRNA from 1 species
GCUCAGGACGAACGCUGGCGGCGUGCUUAACACAUGCCAAGUCGAGCGGUAAGGCUCCUUCGGGAGUACACGAGCGGCGAACGGGUGAGUAACACGUGAGCAAUCUGCCCUUCUCAUCGGAAUAACCAUUGGAAACGAUGGCUAAUGCCGAAUACGACCUCCCUUCGCAUGUUGGGAGGUGGAAAGCUCCGGCGGAGAAGGAUGAGCUCGCGGCCUAUCAGCUUGUUGGCGGGGUAACGGCCCACCAAGGCAACGACGGGUAGCCGGCCUGAGAGGGUGACCGCCCACACUGGGACUGAGACACGGCCCAGACUCCUACGGGAGGCAGCAGUGGGGAAUAUUGGACAAUGGGCGAAAGCCUGAUCCAGCAACGCCGCGUGAGGGAUGACGGCCUUCGGGUUGUAAACCUCUUUCAGCAGGGACGAAGCGAAAGUGACGGUACCUGCAGAAGAAGGACCGGCCAACUACGUGCCAGCAGCCGCGGUAAUACGUAGGGUCCGAGCGUUGUCCGGAAUUAUUGGGCGUAAAGGGCUCGUAGGCGGUCUGUCGCGUCGGGAGUGAAAACUCAGGGCUUAACCCUGAGCGUGCUUCCGAUACGGGCAGACUAGAGGGAUGCAGGGGAGAACGGAAUUCCUGGUGUAGCGGUGGAAUGCGCAGAUAUCAGGAGGAACACCGGUGGCGAAGGCGGUUCUCUGGGCAUGACCUGACGCUGAGG